CACCCUUCAGCGGAUUACCGAGACACCUGUUUCUCAGGUGUCAGGAGUGUCUAACCCUGGCACUUUGCAGCACCUGAAGGACUCCAGCUACAGGACAAGAUUUGUGACUUUUCCCCAGAAAGCCCUCGCAUCCCAUGAGACUUGUCACAUCAUGAGAUCACGCUACCUGUUCCUACUCGUUUACCUCCUGGGGAGCUGCUUCGGGGCAUCAAGUGCAAAACGAAAUGAAACCUGCACUACGAGAGAAACCUGUGGUCAGGUACCUGAUUCGACCUCGCACUUCCUCCGGUGUGUGGGAUUGCCACCGACGGGCACAGGGAGAGACCACAUGCGGAGGCUGAAAGGCAUGCUCGGG